GACGAACGCUGGCGGCGUGCCUAACACAUGCAAGUCGAACGGAGCAGAUCCCUUCGGGGGUUUGCUUAGUGGCGAACGGGUGAGUAACGCGUGAGGAACCUCCCUUUCAGUGGGGGACAACAGUUGGAAACGACUGCUAAUACCGCAUAAGCGCACGGAACCGCAUGGUUUUGUGUGAAAAACUCCGGUGGUGUGAGAUGGACCCGCGUUGGAUUAGCCAGUUGGCAGGGUAACGGCCUACCAAAGCGACGAUCCAUAGCCGGCCUGAGAGGGUGAACGGCCACAUUGGGACUGAGACACGGCCCAG
rnacentral:rRNA from 1 species